AUUAGAUGAGCCUAUAUUAGAUUAGCUAGUUGGUGGAGUAAUAGCCUACCAAGGCAAUGAUCUAUAGCUGAUCUGAGAGGAUGAUCAGCCACACUGGAACUGAGAUACGGUCCAGACUCCUACGGGAGGCAGCAGUGGGGAAUAUUGGACAAUGGGCGAAAGCCUGAUCCAGCUAUGCCGCAUGAGUGAAGAAGGCCUUUGGGUUGUAAAGCUCUUUUAGUGAGGAAGAUAAUGACGGUACUCACAGAAGAAGUCCUGGCUAACUCCGUGCCAGCAGCCGCGGUAAUACGGAGAGGGCUAGCGUUAUUCGGAAUUAUUGGGCGUAAAGGGCGCGUAGGCUGAUUAAUAAGUUAAAAGUGAAAUCCCGAGGCUUAACCUUGGAAUUGCUUUUAAAACUAUUAAUCUAGAGAUUGAAAGAGGAUAGAGGAAUUCCUGAUGUAGAGGUAAAAUUCGUAAAUAUUAGGAGGAACACCAGUGGCGAAGGCGUCUAUCUGGUUCAAAUCUGACGCUGAGGCGCGAAGGCGUGGGGAGCAAACAGGAUUAGAUACCCUGGUAGUCCACGCUGUAAACGAUGAAUGUUAAAUAUGGGAAG
rnacentral:rRNA from 1 species